rnacentral:lncRNA from 1 species
GAGGAAAAAUGCACGGCCUCUAUCAUGGUCAUGGAAUGAACUGUGAAUAAGAGCAUGCUGGAGUUCUAGAAAAUGGCUUUCCUAACUCAUGGGAUUGAGUUACGGAGGAAAGAUGUUUUGCCUUGUAACUAGAUCUUUGUAGCAAGAAGAAAGCUUAAAAGUUAGGUUACCUUUUAAUUUAUCAGAGCUUACACUGGAUUACGGCUUUGAAAAUCUGUUUAGAAAAUAGCGAUAACCUGACAAGCACUACAGUUUCACAGGGCUUAUUUCAUAGGUGGGGCCAUUACGUUCUCAUGCUUACUAGUCUAAGAAGAAUGGUCCACUUAUCCGUCCCCUAAAAUCAUCACUUUCUUACAGAAGGAGGAAAGAAAAUACAGAAAUGAGGCAUGAGAAGAUGAAGCUCAUGCAGCCUGGGAGGGCUUCGUGCUCACUGAAGCACAGCGCUCUACAGAGCCUUGAACAAAUCCCUGUAUUUUCUUACACUACAUCUCUUUUGAAAGCAAAUAUUUCCAAAGAUCAAAAUGGAAGUAAUUUCUCAUUUUCAAGUUGCAAAUUAUUUGUGUGAAUGAAGAAAAUAUGGCUUCACCUUGUCAUCCUAGAUGAUAGGGGACAUUAUCUGCAUUACAGAAAGGAUCUCAGAAACGUACAGAUUAAGAUUGCCCUGCACAGAUUGGUUGCAGACUGUUCUACCAUGCCCAGACCUACGUGAUGUGCUAUUUAAAUACAUGACCUUGGGCUGAAAAUCUGCCCUCUGUGUACCGAGAGAGCAGCACAGAGGGAUGCGGACAUGCAGAGAACCGCUCUGUGCCCUGAGCCCCCAAAGGCAUCACACAGAGCCACAGAUCAGACAGCUCUGCUUCCACCCAGUUUAAAGGAGUCUGGAGAGCAGACACCUGGGGCAUCUGGGGAUCCCAUUCUGCCAGCUCCUCCCGGUGGUGAAAAAGAAGUAAAGCACAACGCAGCUGGCUGUUAUCUUGACGUUUUGCUCCGGGGAGAACUUAAUCAACUUUGCUUUCCUGGCGGUACCUCAACCACCUGAGCAGCCCCUUCACCUGCCAGCUCCGAGCACGGCCUCAGACCGGCAAACACGGGAUGCUCGAGAUGUAAUCUAAUUAAAAACACUGGUGAUGGAUGGGUGGCUGAAGAUGUCCCCAACCUUAGCAUCCUUUGCCUCCAUUUGGCUACCGCGUUUGGCAGCUCAGCAACAAAAACAAACCCUUCCUCCAGGCUGAUGGCUUUCAUGGUCAAAAGCUAAAAGAGCAUCUACCACCUCCUGCAUGGGAUUGUAGAGCACAGUCCACAAAGGAGUGUGCAGCUCAGCUCCACACACAGGCAGUGAUUCCAGGUCCCAGAGGCCAAAGUGAACCCUGCACAGGGGAACGCUGCAAUUAGCAAUGAAAAGCCUCUUAGAUACGAUGGCUUCUAACGCAUUUCACAGUAAAUUUAGAAAUCACUCUGCUUUGAAACCACCAGCAGCCUCAUCCACAGUGCAACUAAGAGGAAAGCACUGUCUGCUUUGCCUUGAUCCAUCUCUAACCUGGCUUCUGAAUUUCUAAGGAUUAAUGCCAUCUAGUUCUCAUAAAAGCGACCUCAGAGUAGAGUUAUAAGUUUACAAGAGGGAAAUUCAUUUCCUUACAGAGAUUGUAAAAGAUUCCUAUUAGCUCAAGAUGUCAUACUUGCAAAUGUAUUAUCCCACUGUUGAGGAGAGGGAAGCAGUGACUCUGCAACUCCCUGAGAGGAGGCUGUGAAUUGCAGUAGGACGUGCUGGCCUCAAGUUGUACCAGGGGAGGUUCACCUGGGUAUUAAGAAACAAUUCUUCUUCAGAAAGGCAGUAAUGCAUUGGCCCAGGCUGCCCAGGGAGGUGGGGAAGUCACCAUCUCUGGAGGUGUUCCAAAGCUGUGGAGGUGUGGCACUGAGGGACAAGAUCAGUGGCAUGGUGGGCAUGGGCUGAUGAUGACUAAAUGAUCUUAGAUGAUGACUAAAUGAUCUUAGAAGUCUGUUCCAACCUGAAUGACUUAAAGAGUCUAUGAGCCCAACAGACUUCCUGUCACUUUAAGGGCCCAAAAUAAAGACCAAGGCUUGAACUCCUCAUGCUGAGAGUGAGCAGAGGCAGUAAGGGGCGAAAAAUGCCGAGCUGAGGACAGUGCUGAAAUCAGGAGGGGCACAAAGCCUCCUGGUAGAGCUUCUCAUUUACUUGCAGGGAUCAGUGGCUGAACACAUCGGAGAGAACUUUUAAAUUUGUUUGCAAGACAAUGAAAACA